rnacentral:rRNA from 1 species
GAGGCAAGCCUCUAUAUUUAGAUCUAUACCCGAACUCUUAUCGAACUCGAGCGUCCUUAUCUAGAAAGCCACACAUACUAGUUUUUGCUGGGAAUCAUGGCUCAAAAAUAUGUUAUUCUGUUAAAAAUUAAUUUUAAAUUUAUACUUAGUAAAGUAAAUUCUUAUACCAUUAAUUACCCUACUAAUUUAUUGUUUUCUUGUUCUAUUACUUUUUUUUAAUGGUAUUAGUUUUUCCUACAAUAAUUAUAUAUUGGUUAUUUUUGCUUACUUUUUAUUUUUUAUAUAAAGGUUUAUAUAAAAAUCUUUUUAUUAUUUGGGAUUUUAUUUUUUUAGUUGGUAUUUUAUUUUUACUGCUCUUUUUAUUGGGUUUGAAGGUAAAAUUUUAAUAGGUGGUGAAUAUACUGAUCUUCUUUUUUCCUAUGCUUUUUUCAAGUAUUCUAAAUUUAUUCUUUUAGAGAGUUUUUGUAUGAAAAGUAGAAUAGUAUUGGAUUUUUUAAGCUUUAAAUGUGGAUUUCCUAUAUACAUACCCUCAAUUUUUAAAGGGGUGUUGUUUGUUGUAAAAUUCUUAUUUGGUGGUGGCAAAGGGGGGGGACUCAAGCGGAGUGUGCUCCUAAAAAAAGUUCAAAGGUAGUCUCUAGGUAUAUCGCCAAGUGAAAUUAAGUUUAAUAACCUUUUUUCAUGUGGAUUUUCAAGUAGUCCAAUAAGCGCAAGCACUAAUUAUAUGGAUUAUCUUGAUUAGUGUAAAGAGAUUUAAAACGCUUAAAAAAAAAAUUGUAAAUGGUAUGACUAUUCUAAUAAUGAGAUCGAAAAGUUUAAGGGUAAGUAAGAUGUUACGUUUUAUGAGGUUAGAAUGCCUGUUAUUAAUCAUAUUAUUAGAAAAGGGUGUCAUAAAGGAAAAAUCCUAGAGUCUAAUAUUAAUAUUUUUUUUAUAUCUUGUUCUUAAUUCUCAUUAUAAAAUAGUAUUGUACUUAAUUAUGAGUGUUGCGUU